AUUGGUGGAGACCAAACCCACGAAAAUUCAUUUAACAGCUAAAUACCCUAGUCAACUGGCUUCAAUCUACUUCUCCCGCUGCUGGAAAAAAAGGGGGGA